GCCAAGGCAGGUGGAUCACUUGAGGUCAGGAGUUCGAGACCAGCCUGGCCAACAUGGUGAGACCCCGUCUCUACUAAAAAUAUAAAACUUAGGCGGGCAUGGUAGCACACACCUGUAAUCCCAGCUACCUGGGAGGCUGAGUCGGGAGAAUCGCUUGAACCUGGGAGGCGAAGGUUGCAGCGAGCCGAGAUAGUGCAACUGCACUCCUGCCUCUCCCGCCUGGGUGAUAGAGUGAGACUCCAUGUGGGGGGAAAAAAAAAAAAAAAAAAAAAAAAAAAAAAAAAAAAAAAAAAAAGAUGGGGUCU
rnacentral:lncRNA from 1 species